AGUCACUACGAGGUUGCACUAUGAAGUUAACACUAUUUUUGAUUUGCUUGCUUUUCGCAAUCGAUUUUAGUUUCGGAGAUGGAGAUGAAAUGCAGCAAGCUCUUGGAGGUAUUUGUGGUGGUGCGAGUAAAAAUGGUGUCUGUUUAAAGGAGAAUACUUUCAACUACAAUGUCAGCACUAGGAAAUGCGAAAAAGUGGAACGAGAUGGGGGAGCUUGUGGGUUCUUUAAGUUUAAGAAGAGAUGCGAAAUAGUAUGUAACAGUGUGAAAAAGGAAUUAGUUCACAAACCAAGCCGCUUGCCUCCACCGAUCUCGAAAUAAAUGCAUAUUGCUGAUAUCUAAACAUGAAA
rnacentral:sRNA from 1 species